rnacentral:rRNA from 1 species
UACAGAGGUCCCGAGCGUUGUUCGGAUUCAUUGGGCGUAAAGGGUGCGUAGGCGGCGGGGUAAGUCUGAUGUGAAAUCCUGGGGGCUCAACCCCAGAACUGCAUUGGAUACUGCCUUGCUAGAGUACUGGAGAGGAAACUGGAAUUUACGGUGUAGCAGUGAAAUGCGUAGAGAUCGUAAGGAAGACCAGUGGCGAAGGCGAAUCUCUGGACAGUUACUGACACUGAGGCACGAAGGCCAGGGGAGCAAACGGG